GCUGUAAACGAUGUCGAUUUGGAGGUUGUGCCCUUGAGGCGUGGCUUCCGGAGCUAACGCGUUAAAUCGACCGCCUGGGGAGUACGGCCGCAAGGUUAAAACUCAAAUGAAUUGACGGGGGCCCGCACAAGCGGUGGAGCAUGUGGUUUAAUUCGAUGCAACGCGAAGAACCUUACCUACUCUUGACAUCCAGAGAACUUUCCAGAGAUGGAUUGGUGCCUUCGGGAACUCUGAGACAGGUGCUGCAUGGCUGUCGUCAGCUCGUGUUGUGAAAUGUUGGGUUAAGUCCCGCAACGAGCGCAACCCUUAUCCUUUGUUGCCAGCGGUUCGGCCGGGAACUCAAAGGAGACUGCCAGUGAUAAACUGGAGGAAGGUGGGGAUGACGUCAAGUCAUCAUGGCCCUUACGAGUAGGGCUACACACGUGCUACAAUGGCAUAUACAAAGAGAAGCGACCUCGCGAGAGCAAGCGGACCUCAUAAAGUAUGUCGUAGUCCGGAUUGGAGUCUGCAACUCGACUCCAUGAAGUCGGAAUCGCUAGUAAUCGUAGAUCAGAAUGCUACGGUGAAUACGUUCCCGGGCCUUGUACACACCGCCCGUCACACCAUGGGAGUGGGUUGCAAAAGAAGUAGGUAGCUUAACCUUCGGGAGGGCGCUUACCACUUUGUGAUUCAUGACUGGGGUGAAGUCGUAACAAGGUAACCGUAGGGGAACCUGC
rnacentral:rRNA from 1 species